rnacentral:rRNA from 1 species
AUGAACGCUAGCGGCAGGCCUAAUACAUGCAAGUCGAACGGGUCUUGGUAGCAAUACUAAGAUUAGUGGCGCACGGGUGCGUAACGCGUAUGCAACCUACCUCUAUGAGGGGGAUAGCCUCCCGAAAGGGAGAUUAAUACCGCAUAAGACAGUUGACUGGCCUCAGUUGAUUGUGAAACAUGAUGGCAUAGAGAUGGGCAUGCGUCCGAUUAGCUAGUUGGCGGGGUAAGGGCCCACCAAGGCGACGAUCGGUAGGGGACCUGAGAGGGCGAUCCCCCACACUGGUACUGAGAUACGGACCAGACUCCUACGGGAGGCAGCAGUAGGGAAUAUUGGGCAAUGGUGGAGACACUGACCCAGCCAUGCCGCGUGCAGGAAGAAGGCGCUAUGCGUCGGUAAACUGCUUUUGUCAGGGAAGAAAACGUCCUUGCGAGGAUAACUGACGGUACCUGACGAAUCAGCACCGGCUAACUCCGUGCCAGUAGCCGCGGUAAUACGGAGGGUGCAAGCGUUGUCCGGAUUCAUUGGGUUUUAAAGGGUGCGCAGGCGGGAGAUUAAGUCAGGGGUGAAAGACGGUUGCUCAACAAUCGCAGUGCCUUUGAUACUGGUUUUCUUGGGUGAAGUCGAGGCGGAUGGAAUUCAAGGUGUAGCGGUGAAAUGCAUAGAUACCUUGAAGAACCCCGAUUGCGAAGGCAGUCCGCUAGGCUUUAACCGACGCUCAGGCACGAAAGCGUGGGGAUCAAACAGGAUUAGAUACCCUGGUAGUCCACGCCGUAAACGAUGAUCACUCGCUGUUGGGGUUUAGACUUCAGCGGCUUAGCGAAAGCGUUAAGUGAUCCACCUGGGAGUACGCCCGCAAGGGUGAAACUCAAAGGAAUUGACGGGGUCCGCACAAGCGGUGGAGCAUGUGGUUUAAUUCGAUGAUACGCGAGGAACCUUACCUGGGCUAGAAUGUGACCGAAUGGGGCAGAGACGUCCCAGUCCGCAAGGACGGAAAACGAGGUGCUGCAUGGCUGUCGUCAGCUCGUUGCCGUGAGGUGUUGGGUUAAGUCCCGCAACGAGCGCAACCCUGUGAGUAGUUACCAGCGAGUGAUGUCGGGGACUCUACUCAGACUGCCUGCGCAAGCAGAGAGGAAGGAGGGGAUGACGUCAAGUCAUCAUGGCCCUUACGCCCAGGGCUACACACGUGCUACAAUGGCGCAUACAGCGGGUUGCUACUGGGUGACCAGAUGCCAAUCUCGAAAAGUGCGUCUCAGUUCGGAUCGAAGCCUGCAACUCGGCUUCGUGAAGCUGGAAUCGCUAGUAAUCGCGGAUCAGCACGCCGCGGUGAAUACGUUCCCGGGCCUUGUACACACCGCCCGUCACAUCACGAAAGUGGGUUGUACUAGAAGUCGUCGUGCCAACCGCAAGGAGGCAGACGCCCAAGGUAUAAUUCAUGAU